AUCUGCACUUUUUUUACUACUACAAAAAACUAUGAACUUAGUUUUAUCGGUAUUUAAAGAAAGCCUAUUGAUAUCAAACAAUUUAAUUUUUGUAAAUUCAUUUUCAACUACAUUCAAAACAUCUUUUAUAUUUUCUCCUGAAUAAAAUAAGGUAGUGUCAUCUGUAACUUGAAAAAUUUUGAAACCAAAGCAAUAUCAUUAACGUAAAAAAGAAAAAGUAAUGGUCCAAAGACCGAUCCUUGUGGUACUCCACAACUAAUAUUAUGUAUAGAGGAUUUUAUAUUAUUAAUUUCCACAAACUGUUGUCGAUUCAUCAAAUAACUUCGGAUCCACUCGUGCUACUCCUCUAAUCCAGUAUUUGUAUAAUUUAUCUAAUAAUAUUACCGUAUUUUCACGACCAUAAGGCGCACCUAAAAGUCUUAAAUUUUCUCCAAAAUGUACGCCGCGCCCUAUGGUGCGGUGCGCCUAUUGUGUUGUUGUGAGACACGAACAUAGUAGAAGACAAAGGGCGUGGCGAGAACUUACGGACGUGAGCGAAGACAGACCUGUGGAUCUGCCACAUCGUCAUUAACAUCCUCGCUAGGGAUGAGCGAGUACACCGCUAUCUGUAUCUGUAUCUGUUCAACCAACUAAAUUAUCUGUGGCUGUGUCUCAAUUCAGGGUCUGCAUCCUACGUCGGCAAGAUUUGUCGGCCGGUUACGUCACAGCGCCGCGACUAGGCCUGUCCCAAUUCGAAGACUCCUUAAAAUGCGGUCGACGCAUCCGGCCUUCUUUUCGCCUGAAUGAAGGAUGGGUCCGGUGUAUCCUUCAAAGGGUAGCAUUUCCCAAGAUGCCUUGCGGGCCAGCCGGCAGAAAAACGGCGGACAGUGAAGCGGGAGCUGUCGGAGAGGAUUGCGCAUAUGAAUGUCAGUAUAAACUUGAAAACUGUUAGGUUAAGGGUUUUUUGUGAUACAUGAACGUUAUUUUAGUUAGAAAUGUUACAGUAGAAGUGCUUGUAUUGCGGUCUCGGCUCGUAUGUUCGGCCGCUCGGUGUCAUACUUCUCCCGCUACGUUUUCCCCCUGAUUUUAAUAGGAGUUUGUAUUUUAGGGACAAGAGAAAACCAGGGAAUUUAUUAAGCUUAGGGCGGAGAUGGACCACAUGAUCACUGGAGCAAAGUAUUCGGCAGCUGUGGCAUGGAGACUAUUCUGGAGAAAAUGGGCAUCCAGGAGAAGGUGACAGCGAGGACCAGCUUCUGGAGCUGAUCAGGGAGGACAUGAGGCUGCAGAGGGAGGCAGAGCAGCAGAGGGCCCAGGAGAGAAGGGAGAACUUUGACAGGCUUUUUACUUUGCUAGAAAAAAAUGGUUAAUAAAGAUUAAACAUGUACAUAUAAAAGAAAUAUCUAAAUAAAAUCAGUUCUGCAUUAAACUCUUGAAUUUUAUUUUGGUUUACAAAUGAGAAUUGUUUACUAGAGGGUAUCCAGCUGGGUCUGAAAAGUCUUAAAAGGUGAUAAAUCGGUUUUGGUCAAAUUAAGAACCUUAGAAAGUAUUAAACACUAUUAUCACAUCUUUGCUCAAGCUCAGCUAGUGGAAAGUAUUUUCUCCGAAUUAUCUCUCCAACGAUCAAGGAAAUGAUUAAAGAUCUAAAUAAAACUUCGAGCUCCAUCGUUUAAAGUUCCUUCUCCCUUCUGCUCAGCGGUUCCACGGUUGCUAGGCGACGGAACGUUCGCCGAGGGAGAGGCGGGAAUUCAUGAAAGCUAGGCCUGUCCAAAUUCACAGCCGUUAACAUCCAGUCUACCCGGCCGACGGAGGACCCAGCCCACGUCGGCCGAGUAGGCUGGGUCCUUCGAAGGAUGCAGACUCUGAAUUGAGACACAGCCUGUAUCUGUACUCGGAAUGGGCGUGGCAUAACCCGGAAGUGGGCGUGGCUUAACCGGAAGUGGGUGUGGUUUACAUCAAUAUAUUAUGUUAAGUCUAAAAUUGAUAUGGAUUGAUCAGAAGUUGAUAUGUGUAUUGUUUAUUUAAAAACUAUUUACAGAGCAGCCUCAGAAUAGAGAUUAAAUGUUUUUGAUCACAAUAGUAAAGAAACUAUUACAGAACAAGUGUUUCAAUAAAAUCAGAACAUUAAUAUUUAAGUGCAUGAAUUAAUACGUCUGAACUCAUGCAGUAGGAACUAGGAAAUAUGAAAUACUAGAACCAGACACAACUUCAUAUAUAUUUUUUAUUUUAAUUUGAUUAAACUGAUUUUUUUCUUAACGUUCUUGGCAUUUUCCCACACAAAGUUAAACAAAACAAUGUUGAUUGAGGUGUGUGUGUGUGUGUGUGUGUGUGUGUGUGUGUGUGUGUGUGUGUGUGUGUAUGUGUGUGUGUGUGUGUGUGUGAGAGAGAGA